AGUCUCGAGAGGCCGCGUCAAUGGUUCCAGGGAAGACUGUUGAUUUUCAGCGCAAGAAAAUCAAAGGAAGUCUCAGGAAGCUUGACGAGCAGCCUGAGUGGCUGAAAGGGGGCAAACUUCGAGACUAUCAGCUUAAAGGUCUUAACUUUCUUGUUAACAGCUGGUGAAAUGAUACCAAUGUAAUUUUAGCUGAUGAAAUGGGUCUUGGUAAAACUAUUCAGUCAGUUUCAAUGCUUGGUUUUCUGCAGAAUUCUCAGCAAAUUCAAGGACCAUUUCUUGUUGUUGUUCCUUUAUCUACCUUGUCUAAUUGGGCAAAAGAGUUUAGAAAGUGGUUGCCUGAGAUGAAUGUUAUUAUAUAUGUUGGAACUCGUGCUAGCCGUGAGGUGGGUUGAGAUAUUGUUUCUGUUAUAUUUUGUUUUAUAUUAGAUUUUAUGUUCUUAGGUUAUUGAUUUCACUGCUCUGUAUUUUUUCUGUUUUCUUAGUAUGCUGAUUGAAGUCUGGCUGUCUUGUCUGCUUGUGUUGAAAUGCAAUACUUGUCCAUAAAUAGGUCUUGAACUUUCACGUUUUUCUAAUCAGGGUCUUGAAUAUUGUCAAUUCAGUCGUUGAACUUUGUAUUUUGUUGUAAUUGAGUCCUUGAACAUUCAUUUGGUUCAGUUAUCUCCUUAAACUUUAUAUUAUGUUAUAAUUAGGUCCUACGGAAGGUGGCCAUUUGAGGAUAUAAUAAUAACAUAACACAAAGUUUUCAGUUGGACCAGAUGAAUGUUUGAGGACUCAAGUACAACUAAAUGCGAAGGUCAGGCCCAGUGGAACCAAAUAAUGUUAAAGGAUCCAAUAUGAAAGUCCAAUAAGCCAUUUAUGUAAUAUUCUUUUUCCUUCUGAAAAAGUUCAUUUGAAGGAACCAUGACAUAACCAUAGACAAAUUUUACAUUUUGUUUGGAAGGAGUGAUUCUCCUUUGGUACCCCAUUCACAUCAAUCAGAUUUGCAUAACUACCUGAUGUCAGCAUGUACACCUCUUCACAUAUAAUUUCAAUAAUGUACUGGCACAUUUAGAAGUUAUCAGAAGACUAAAUGCCCAUUCUUUUAGAUUGUAACAGCUUCAAAGAGAAGGUCUGAUUGCUGGGUCAUCCGGGGCCAUCCUUCCCUUCUUACUUAGAUAUUAAUUAGAAAGUAUUUCAUAAUUUCAGAAUUUGUGAGAUUCUAAUUUUUUUUUGUUAAUGCUUAUAUGCUAUUCUCCUGUUGCAAUGCAGCUUACAACUGAUCUUGCAAUGCAGCUUACAGCUGCAAUGAAGAGUAUUCUUUCAACUUGUGGAAGUAUCAAAAUAUCGUUUUCUCGUCGAACUCCCAGGACUGUGCGUACUACUCUCUUCACAAUUUAGGUUGAGCUUGUGUGUCGGGUUCUCUCCUAAGUUAGUUGCUGCAAAUUCAUCAUAGCAGGUCAACUAGUUCAUGAGGACUUGGUGCUAGAACACAUAAUAUGAUAGAUUUUUGUUUUAGCUAUAAGAUAGUUGGUACUUUCAAUUUUGAAUCGAAAUAUGCAAUGAUCAUAUGUACUUGAUACUUGGUUCAUUUGGAUGGUAA